CGGCGGACGGGUGAGUAACGCGUGGGGGAACCUGCCCUAUACAGGGGGAUAACAGUUAGAAAUGACUGCUAAUACCGCAUAAGCGCACGGAGCCGCAUGGCGCUGAGUGAAAAACGAUAGUGGUAUAGGAGGGACCCGCGUCUGAUUAGGUAGUUGGUGAGGUAACGGCCCACCAAGCCGACGAUCAGUAGCCGACCUGAGAGGGUGACCGGCCACAUUGGGACUGAGACACGGCCCAAACUCCUACGGAAGGCAGCAG
rnacentral:rRNA from 1 species